CCUUGUAAAAUCAAGUUAAAACUGAGGGUUAUCUUCCAAUUUACGCAUAGUGUAAAAAUUCCAGCAAGAGUUUGAGCUGUAACUUGAGAAAGCAAGAAGUCAGUUUAGACUUCAGAAAAAGAAUUGUUGAUGCUCUCCAAGCAGGAGAUGCAUGUACAAAGUUAUCACAGUGAGUGUCAAGAACUGGAGUGAGAAGCCACACAGUACAGAACAAACCUGAGGUAGGAAGUGAACGAUUUCAAAGACUGUGGAACAAAAGCUAGUGAGAGAUAUAUCUAAAGACUCCAGAACAAGUGCCAAGGCACUAGUGAAUGACUUAGCCAAGCUGGGAACUGUCUCAAAGAAGACAAUUAUUAGAAGCGUGCAUACCAAUGCACUGAGAGGUUGCACACCAAUAAAAAUUUUAACUUCUGCAGAAGAGACACUUUCAAGCCAGACUGAAGCAUGAUAAGGACAACCUGGAGAAUGAUUAUGGAUACUGGAAUCGUGUCCUCUGGUCAGAUGAGACAAAACUACAGCUUUUUGGCCACAGAGUUGCUGCUUAUGUUUGGAAAAAGAAGGGAGAGAUGUACAACCCAAAAACACCAUCCCCACAGUGGAACACGGUGGUGAGAGUAUUAUGCUGUGGGGACGCUUCUGUCCAUCUGGAACUGGAAAUCUCAACAAGGUGGAAGGAAUCAUGACGAAGAAGAAUUUGCGUGAAGAUUUUUAAAGAAAAACUCAAGCAGGCAGUAGAAAAACUGGUUGAUCUCAGUGCUGCAAAAAAUUUUAAAACUGGUAAGUAGCUAUUGGAAAGGGCAUAAGCUCUCUGAGAACCCAUCAGAAUUCUUAAGUUAAGGCUUGCUUUGUGUAUUGUCCUUGCAUUAUUUUGUUCAUAUUUAUUUGGUUACUCAUUCUUGUCUCUUAUUCUAGUACCAGGAGUACUUGCUUCCAUGUGAUGUGCUUCACCUUCAUCUAAUUGUCUUCUCUGUGUAUAUAAGUUUUUUUCCCCCAUGUCCUCUGUGAGAUCAUCUAAUCUUUCCAUGUACUUGCCCCUGUUUUGUCUCCUGGUUUUGCUUGCCAAAUGAAACUGAUCAACCAUGUCCCUUUCCAUGUGCUUUUACUUCAUACAAAUUGCAAACUCUAACCUAGUCUCUAGAAUCGUGCAUUUGAGUGCAUCCUGCUUGUCAUCACUGGCUGAAAAUUAGUUGACAGCUACUUCCCUUGUGCUACAUAAUCAAAAUGGUGAUCAUGCAGCAUAUGGAGCACUGCAUAUUUGGAAACAAUUAGCACUCCAUACUGAACCAUCAUGAAUCUCAUAUUGUUCUAGGAGUGCAAUGACAAAUGUCUGCUACAAUUAUGAUUAGUCAUGGCAUAUGGCUAAAUACACACAAGGGCCAUUUAAUGCGUAUCUUCUUGAAGACUCUCCCAAGGCAAGGAUAAAAUAAACCAGUAAAUCUAGAAUGAGAAAAAAGACGAUCCCAUACGUCCCUUAGAGUUAUGACUCUUGGUCUCGAUCAAAGUACAAAAAGAUACUUUUCCGACCCCCCGUAAUUUCUGUGCAGUCCCUCAUUGUGCCUCUCUGUUUUCUUUUUAAAUACAAAUAUAUUUUUAAAGGGUCUGUCUUGGAGCACUCUUCUGCUUGCUGUGAUGUUGAAGCUGAUUUUGAUUUUUUUUUUUUUGUCUUUGCUUGCUCAUUCUUUUAUUCAUCCUCUGAGCCAGCUCCUUUUCUGGUGGUGGAUUGUGAAACAACAAGAAUGUUUUUUAUCUUCGUGCGGUCUCACCCGCAACAUUUGUUUCCAAUUUGACAGAUUUUGGAACAGAAAUUCUUGGGAGAGAAACUGAUGGUUGCAUGAUGGUUCAAAAAUAAGCUCUUUGCAAAAAUCCUCCACCUAUUCCUCAAAUCUCUCCCCCCCACCCACACCCCUCCCAUCAGCGCUCUAAGGCUCUCUCCACUUUACUUCCUGCAGCCCUUCUCCGCUUUCCUCUAUUGGUUUAAGUCCAAACAAAGUCACCUCAUCGUGUAUUGUGGGAGAGAUUGUAAAGUUUUCAUUGAGUCCAUGUGGAAGUGAUUUGGCUGUAAUCUUCAGUAAUUGUGACUGUAACACAGAAACAGGCUGGAACAGAUUGGCCUCAUAUUUUUUCUUCAGGGUCACUAUGGGCUUAUCUCAAUAUUUAGCGACUUGCCUGAUUGAGUUAUCAUAUCACAUUUGCUGUUAAGAGCUGAGUGAUGUCAACAAACGUAACUAGAGAGCGCAAGAUGUUGCUUUAAAUCACAGAGAGGAAGGUUCCUGUUUGAAGAAAGCACACACAUCAAUGUCAGCGUGACCCGCGGAGACCCGACUUUUUAAAAUGCAUGACAUUUAAGAGCGUUGGUGGAGAUGUGAAACAGAAAUGCUGUUAAAAAAGGCACCAUUACAGCGUGACCUAUCCUAGAUCUGAACCCAGUUUCCCCCGACCCAUGUCACACACACACGGAGAGAAGUCAAGAGCACUCUGCUCAGUUGCUGCUGAGGUGCAAAUGGUUUGCCUCUAUGCAUCAUUGACCCAACGUUGCUCCUUCACCUCCUCUCACUCGUCUGCCUGCUUCUUCUUGACUCUGUCCAUCAGUGCUCCACCUCAUUCACCCCUCUCUCUUCAUAUGCACUUUUUGUCUCCUGUGCCCUCUUCCUCCUCUUCUCCCCAUCAUUUGUCUCUUUGUCCUCUGUUCGUGGUACUUUUUUCUUUUUGCCAUUUUUCCAACUCAUGAAUUGUUUUCUCUCUGCUCCCUCAUCUCAACGGCUCUCAGUCACACGUCCUGAUGAAUGAGUAAUCUUGUUUCAUUGUCCUCAGCCAUGCCUUGCCCGUGUUCGAUAAUGGCUCAUUUGAUUCUUUCCCACUAGCGUUUGGUGGAUGGCAGAGACUGGGAGCUUGGAGUCGUGCAGUUAUCAUAAAGACCAUGUCAACUGUGAAGCCACAAAGCCUGCGAGUGAUUAAAACCCUUCAACUCAGGGUUACUUCAUCACAAUCAUUAGUCUUUUCUCGUCCUACCUUCUGGCUGUAAAACCCACACAGCCUAACCCUCCCCGUCCGUUAAUAAUAUUCACUCAGCUUCUGAUACAUUAGCCAGUGAAUGAUAGGGCAAAGCCCUGGCCUAAUUGCUUUUCUUCUUGUAAAGUCUCAAUUCAUUUUUGCUGAGAUGUGUGCCUAUAGUGUGCACACGUAUGAGCCAACACACACGCACGCACAACCUGAAGCGCAUACUUUCACACACUUGCACUUACACACAACCCCACCUUCCCACUGCUGUUUUAUGAUGGAUGGGGCUGAGGAUGCACAGGGGAAGGGGUGGGGGGAUAGACUGUAAGGCUGCGUGUACAUGUGUGUGUGUCUCUGUGCACGAACAAGUGUGUGUGUUGGUUGGAAAGAAAGAAAAAAGGAGAGGGAAAGAGAGAGAGAAGCUGAGCUGAGGAGCUCUGAUUAACGACACAGAGAAGGGGUCCCAGAGGAGUUGGGGGAAGAGCAAAACUAUCUGGGGCCAGCUGAGAGAGAGAGAGAGUGUGUGUGUGUGAGAGAAAGAUAGAGAGAGAGGGCACAAAAAACAGGUAGAAAAUGGGGCGGGUGGGGGGUUGAAGAUGUUUUCUUUUCAUGCCUUUCAUUACAAGAGACUCACAAACACAUGAAACUCUGCAUAUCCGUCAUGAUCAUCUGCAAACCGGAGUAUCAGCUUUAUCCACUUUAGCCCCGCUGUUACCCAGUGCGUUCCUCCUCUUCUACCUACUAGAUUCGACACCCACCCAUCAGAUUAAAUCUUCUCACUUUACCUUACUUAGGAUCCUGCAACCCAGCGCCUCAGGCUUCUGUCCACACAGCUGUCAGAAGGAGAAACAGGGUGUGUGUUGCCAGAAUACAGGCCAUCACCUCUCUCUGAUUGCACAUGAGAGUAGAGGUAAUGGGAGUGUAAUAGCACCUUAAGUACCCUGCUCUCACUGACACUGGCUGUAUAGCAUUACCCCUUGGUCUGACUGUGCGGCAAAGUGUAUGUGUGCGUGUGUUUGGUUGAGGGGGGGUGUAUGCAUUGGCAUAUGCACAAGUUUUUCUUCUGUCAAUCCAUUUGUCUGCUGUGGAUAUGUGUGUGUGUGUGUGUGCGUGUCUGCUAACACAAGUCUGAUCCAGGUUUGAGUGUGCUGUGUUUUCCCUGAGGGUCGUCUGAGCCGUAGCGAUCAAAGAGAGAGAUGGAGGUUAACUGACCAGACCCGAGAAGCUCCACAGAAGGACCGGAGGGACUCCUCUCUGUUAGCCCAGCCACAUUCAAAGAUGGGACUUUGUGCGGCUUGUUAUGGGUGAUGUGAAGAAGUCUCUUUCUCCGUGUCUGCAAUUUACGAAGUUGCAGACACACACACACAAAAAAGUUGUUCAAAUUGCUGGAUCUGGCACCACCUGCAGAAGCUGAUGAACAGAGACCCGCCGAGGCUUUUAACUUGUAAAUUUUAACAUUUUCAAAUAGAUUGUUAGCCUCAAUGUAAUGCUUUUAUGACAAUAUGUAAAAGUGCAUUUAAAAGUGUACUGCAACUUGAAAUGUCUAUAUUCAGAAAAACAAAGAAAAAAUACCAAAUUAAUUUGCCCAUUAUAUAUAAAUAAAAUUACUUUUCUGGCACUGCUGUGGCAUAACCUGAAUAUUGCUGUCUCGUGCAGAUUGCAUAUUAGCUGUAUUUCCUGUAUGUGAGGAAUGGUCGACUGUCCUUUUCCUGGAAUAAACAAAGUAUAUCCUUA